rnacentral:rRNA from 1 species
GACGAACGCUGGCGGCGUGCUUAACACAUGCAAGUCGAACGGAAAGGCCCUGCUUUUGUGGGGUGCUCGAGUGGCGAACGGGUGAGUAACACGUGAGUAACCUGCCCUUGACUUUGGGAUAACUUCAGGAAACUGGGGCUAAUACCGGGUAGGAGCUCCUGCCGCAUGGUGGGGGUUGGAAAGGUUCGGCGGUUGGGGAUGGACUCGCGGCUUAUCAGCUUGUUGGUGGGGUAGUGGCUUACCAAGGCUUUGACGGGUAGCCGGCCUGAGAGGGUGACCGGCCACAUUGGGACUGAGAUACGGCCCAGACUCCUACGGGAGGCAGCAGUGGGGAAUAUUGCACAAUGGGCGGAAGCCUGAUGCAGCAACGCCGCGUGCGGGAUGACGGCCUUCGGGUUGUAAACCGCUUUCGCCUGUGACGAAGCGUGAGUGACGGUAAUGGGUAAAGAAGCACCGGCUAACUACGUG